GAACUGCUGGGAUCGCGCCAUGGCCUGGGCCCCUCUCCUCCUCGCGGUGCUCGUCCACGGCUCAGGUUCCCUGGUCCAGGCAGCGCUGACUCAGCCGCCCUCGGCGUCAGCGAACCCAGGACAAACCAUCCAGAUCACCUGCUCCGGAAUUGACAGCAGCAGUUGGAAUGAUGCUGGCUGGUUCCAGCAGAAGGUGCCUGGCACUGCCCCUGUCACUGUGAUCUAUCAGAGCAACAAGAGACCCUCGGGCAUCCCUUCGCGAUUCUCUGGAUCCAAGUCUGGCUCCACAGGCACAUUAACCAUCUCUGGGGUGCAAGCCGAGGACGAGGCUGUCUAUUACUGUGGUGGCUACGAUGGCAGCAGCAAUGCUGCCACGGUGACACAAAGCAAUGGGGAAGUGAGACAAAAACCUCCCGCCAUCGCAGGGGCCAGUGAGGAGUCUCUGCUGUCCCGGUCUCAUGGUGCGUGA